rnacentral:rRNA from 1 species
UACAGAGGGGGCAAGCGUUAUUCGGAAUUAUUGGGCGUAAAGGGCGCGUAGGCGGCUUGGCAAGUGGAUGGUGAAAUCCCUCGGCUUAACCGAGGAACUGCCAUCCAGACUGCUUUGCUUGAGGCCGGGAGAGGUAAGUGGAAUUCCCAGUGUAGCGGUGAAAUGCGUAGAUAUUCGGAGGAACACCAGUGGCGAAGGCGGCUCACUGGCUCGGUACUGACGCUGAGGUGCGAAAAGCGUGGGGAGCAAACAGG